GCGGCCUAUCAGCUUGUUGGUGAGGUAAAGGCUCACCAAGGCGACGACGGGUAGCCGGCCUGAGAGGGCGACCGGCCACACUGGGACUGAGACACGGCCCAGACUCCUACGGGAGGCAGCAGUGGGGAAUAUUGGGCAAUGGAGGGAACUCUGACCCAGCGACGCCGCGUGCGGGAUGAAGGCCUUCGGGUUGUAAACCGCUUUCAGCAAGGAAGAAGCGAAAGUGACGGUACUUGCAGAAGAAGCACCGGCUAACUAUGUGCCAGCAGCCGCGGUAAUACAUAGGGUGCAAGCGUUGUCCGGAAUUAUUGGGCGUAAAGAGCUCGUAGGUGGUUCGUCACGUCGGAUGUGAAAAUCUGGGGCUUAACCCCAGACCUGCAUUCGAUACGGGCGAGCUAGAGUGUGGUAGGGGAGACUGGAAUUCCU
rnacentral:rRNA from 1 species